rnacentral:rRNA from 1 species
GACGAACGCUGGCGGCGUGCCUAAUACAUGCAAGUCGAACGAGAGCGACCGGUGCUUGCACUGGUCAAUCUAGUGGCGAACGGGUGAGUAACACGUGGGUAGCCUGCCCAUCAGAGGGGGAUAACAUCCGGAAACGGAUGCUAAAACCGCAUAGGUCUUCGAGCCGCAUGGCUUGAAGAGGAAAAGAGGCGCAAGCUUCUGCUGAUGGAUGGACCCGCGGUGCAUUAGCUAGUUGGUGAGGUAACGGCUCACCAAGGCCGUGAUGCAUAGCCGACCUGAGAGGGUGAUCGGCCACAUUGGGACUGAGACACGGCCCAAACUCCUACGGGAGGCAGCAGUAGGGAAUCUUCCGUAAUGGACGCAAGUCUGACGGAGCAACGCCGCGUGAGUGAAGAAGGUUUUCGGAUCGUAAAACUCUGUUGUUAGAGAAGAACAAGUGCUAGAGUAACUGUUAGCGCCUUGACGGUAUCUAACCAGAAAGCCACGGCUAACUACGUG